rnacentral:rRNA from 1 species
CAGUAGCCGCGGGAAUACGUAGGGUGCGAGCGUUAAUCGGAAUUACUGGGCGUAAAGCGUGCGCAGGCGGUUGUGUAAGACAGGUGUGAAAUCCCCGGGCUUAACCUGGGAACUGCGCUUGUGACUGCACAGCUAGAGUAUGGCAGAGGGGGGUGGAAUUCCACGUGUAGCAGUGAAAUGCGUAGAGAUGUGGAGGAACACCGAUGGCGAAGGCAGCCCCCUGGGCCAAUACUGACGCUCAUGCACGAAAGCGUAGGGAGCAAACAGGAUUAGAUACCCCGGUAGUCCCUGUCUCUUAUAC